GGUCAUAUCACGUUGAAACAUUGGUUCCUGUACGAUCACCAAAGUUAUGCAACAUUGAGCCUGGUCAGAACCUAGAUGGGUGACCACUUUGAAAUACCAGGUGCUGUAAGC